GGACUUUAUUAGAGUGUGUGGUAUGGACGGCGGCCAGUGUAUGUUAUAGCCACACACAUGUUGGCUUCACACGCGAGGUUGGAUGUGCGAAUGUGUAAACAACAGUAAAAACAGUCAAAACAACACUCGCGACAUGGCAUGUGUGAUUCAUGUCGGUCAGACCCUGAGUUCGUGGUCUAUCUACAGCAUCGUGUUUUGUCAUUAUUAUCAUCCGCUUGGGUUGUACUGGUUUUCUCACACGUCGGUCACACUUAUCCCACAACGGUAUGCAUGGCGGUAGACUUUAUACGAACCCUGUGUGUUUUGCAAUUAAUAUACGUCCAGGUUAAUUAGCUGUCUGAAACAUCUAGAAACGGCAAUCAAUGAAAAUUCUACGGGGUGAACCUAAAAUAAGCAUCUUAGAGUUUUAUUUUAGUUUUUUUAUAAAAAAAAAAUAAACAAAGAAUUAUGCCGAUUUAAUCAAAAUAAUGAUUUUUACGAAUUAAAAAUAUGAAUAAUGAAGCCAGUGUUCAAACAUUAGUACCGCAAAAUCAUUUGACGGUAAUUUUUUGCAAAUCAAAUUAUAAUUCUGUGAUGGAUAUGACGUGAAAUUGUCUAUAUUGUAUUAAUUUCAUGGACAAAUAGACAACGUUAAUUAUA